AAGCGCUUUGGGGUCCUUAGGGACUAGUAAAGCGCUAUACAAAUACAGGCCAUUUACCAUUUUACCAUUUUACUACUUGCAGCAUCUGACGACACGUGAAAAUUGGGAAAUAUUUUUAAAUGCUCAUUUUUGAGGAUUGCAGCAAUAAAGACCUGGAAGAUGCCUUUGACCACACUGUUACUCAUCAGAAAUGGCUGAGGGGGAAAAAGGCUGAGCAGUGAGUGUCUACAGGCUGUAAAAGACGGUGCAGGCUCUGUCAUGGGGACAUUAUGGUUGUCUUGAGGAUGUUUUUGGAAUUAUGAACUCAGGAAGGUGGGGUGCUGGCAGAGAUGUCUCAAGGAAGAUUAGCGGCGAGGCCGGCAGUCCCCCCGGGAGCAUCACAACUGAUUAAACCUACAGCUCUUAUCUAUCCAAGAGAACAGAUCCACGAUAGGCUGCUGCCCACUGGUUACUAUCACCACUCAAAUGUCUAGAUUAACCCACAAGAGCAUCUGCAGCCUAUUAGUGGGAUUAAACCCAUGAAGACAAGCGGCCAUCCUGCUGUGAAUUGGCUGAGGGCAAUUAGUUCAAACCUUAUUCCUAAUGACUGAUACUUUAAUGAGCGGUGGUGACGAAAAUUCUCAGAUCCUUCACUUUUAUGUAUCCAUCUAAAAAUACUCCAAAAUAGUCCCUAAUAAUUCUCAUUUUUUAAAGCUGCUCAGGACCCUUAAACAAGUCGAUGAAGCUGUGUUGUUGGAGAAUUCAGUUUUACAACUCAAAUCUUGCUUUAAUUGACUUUUGUAGUUUUACAGUAAGAUCUUUAUCUACAAAAUAACUGAAGUGGCCAGAUGUAAUAAACCCCCCAAAACAAUCCUUUAAAAUGUAUUUCAGUAAAAGAACAAAGCAAAAAUAACCACAGAUACACACAUCUUAAAAAUUGACUUAGUGUUGGUCCUCAUAUAAAUAUACUUUCCCUCAUUGAUGAGCAGCUAGUUUUACCUUACCCUUUUUAUGCCCUUUAUAUACCGCUAUUUAUCAUUGAAAUGCAACCCUUCAUCACUGUUAAGAGAGGGUACAAAGUCAGUGAAGAGGUGAAAAAGUGAAGAGGACUCCUUGUAGUACAAUGAAAUAAAAUGCAUGCAGCAGUGUUGUGCUUUAUUUAUUUUGUAUUAUAUUUACUAAGACUUACUGUUGACAAUUUAUUGCAAUUUUGAUUAUAAAAUAUUUGAUCCAUUGUCAACAAAAGCGUUACUUGAUGUUGUUUGGGUAGAAUUAUAUUGAUUUUUACUGGAGGGUUUCAUCACUCAAGACUUCAAAACUCUCCUACGGUCUCCAUCGUUGUUCGUGUUAUACUUAAUGUUGUUUCGCUGAAUUCAGGGAAUAAGCGUGCCUUUUUAUUUCCUGGGGUAAAUGCUUUUAUU